rnacentral:rRNA from 1 species
GACGAACCGUGCGAACGUUAUUCGGAAUCACUGGGCUUAAAGCGCGUGUAGGCGGGAGGGCACGUCCGUCGCUGAAAUCCCCCGGCUCAACCGGGGAACGGGCGCGGAUACGACCUUCCUUGAGGGGCGUAGGGGGACCUGGAACUUCCGGUGGAGCGGUGAAAUGCGUAGAGAUCGGAAAGAACACCAACGGCGAAAGCACUCUGCUGGGCCGACACUGACACUGAGAGACGAAAGCUAGGGGAGCGAAUGGG